UUUACAUGCUGGGUAAACUCCCUCACCAUUCUGUCAGUGUCCAUGUGGCUGAACUGUUUCCAGAAAAGAGCCUCCUGUUUCCUCACAGCUCAGACAUGAAGUCUAUUCUCACUUCAGUGCUUGUGAUGAUAUUCACACUCAGAGGAACAAGAGCCCAGACAGUGACUCAGCCUGACGACCACAUCUCAGUCUUUGAAGGAGCCCCAGUAGAGGUGAAGUGCAGCUACUCAUAUUCUGGGAGCCCUGAACUCUUCUGGUAUGUCCAGUACCCCAAACAAGGCCUCCAGUUACUCCUGAAACACAUCUCAAGAGAGAGCAUCAAAGGUUUCACAGCCACCCUUGACAAAAGUGGGGCGUCCUUCCAUCUGAAGAAACCAUCAGCUCAAGAGGAAGACUCAGCCACGUAUUACUGUGCUCUGAGGGCCACAGUAAUUGGUUUUACAAAGGAAGCAGAGCACAAACCCCUUGGGAGCCACAGCAAAUACUUCAUUGUAAGUUCUCUACGUGGCCACAGUGGGGCACUCUCUCUCUAGAGACUGUAUUGUACCUCUUAGGUACAAUAUCAUUAGUUGUCAAUUACCUAGAGAUUAACCUCAAAAAUGUGUCCAAGA